GAAAUGCGAUAAGUAAUGUGAAUUGCAGAAUUCAGUGAAUCAUCGAAUCUUUGAACGCACAUAGCGCCCGCCAGUAUUCUGGCGGGCAUGCCUGUCCGAGCGUCAUUUCAACCAUCAAGCCCCCGGGCUUGUGUUGGGGACCUGCGGCUGCCCGCAGGCCCUGAAAACCAGUGGCGGGCUCGCUGUCACACCGAGCGUAGUAGCAAUCACCUCGCUCAGGGCGUGCUGCGGGUUCCGGCCGUUAAACAGCCUUACAAAACCCAAGGUUGACCUCGGAUCAGGUAGGAAGACCCGCUGAACUUAAGC
rnacentral:misc_RNA from 1 species